AUAAGAAUGACUAUGGAACCGAGGGCGGAUCUCGGCAUCUCCACCA
rnacentral:tmRNA from 1 species